rnacentral:rRNA from 1 species
AAUAACUACGAGUGUAAACUUAAAAUUUAAAAGACUUGACGGUACUUCACAACAACCUAGAGGAGCCUGUCUAAUAACCGAUACUCCACGAUUAACCCGACCCACCCUAGCCCAACAGUCUAUAUACCGCCGUCGCCAGCUUACCUUGUGAAAGAAAUAAAGUAAGCAUAAAGGGCUUUUCUCCCCACACGACAGGUCGAGGUGUAACUUAUGGGUGGGUAAAAGAUGGGCUACAUUUUCUGACACAGAACACACGAAUGCACUAUGAAACUAGAAACUGAAGGCGGAUUUAGCAGUAUGGUAAGAAUAAAAUACUUAACUGAAACCAACGCAAUGAAGUGCGUACACACCGCCCGUCAUCCCUGUCAACAACCCAAAAAAAUUCAUAAACCCCCUCCCCCACCACUAAAACAGGGCAAGUCGUAACAAGGUAAGUGUACA